rnacentral:rRNA from 1 species
CCCUUAGAUGUUCUGGGCCGCACGCGCGCUACACUGAUGCAUUCAACGAGUUUCUUCCUGGUCCGAGAGGAAUGGGUAACCUUUUGAAAGUGCAUCGUGAUAGGGAUAGACUAUUGCAAUUAUUGGUCUUCAACGAGGAAUUCCUAGUAGACGUAGUUCAUCAGACUGCAUCGAUUACGUCCCUGCCCUUUGUACACACCGCCCGUCGCUCCUACCGAUUGAAUGCCCAGGUGAGCCAUUCGGACUUUCAUCAUGCUGGUUUCCAGUUUUGAUGAAGGAAAGUCUUGCGAACCUUAUCAUUUAGAGGAAGGAGAAGUCGUAACA